rnacentral:rRNA from 1 species
GCAGCCGCCGCGGUAAUACGUAGGUGGCAAGCGUUGUCCGGAAUUAUUGGGCGUAAAGGGCUCGCAGGCGGUUUCUUAAGUCUGAUGUGAAAGCCCCCGGCUCAACCGGGGAGGGUCAUUGGAUACUGGGAAACUUGAGUGCAGAAGAGGAGAGUGGAAUUCCACGUGUAGCGGUGAAAUGCGUAGAGAUGUGGAGGAACACCAGUGGCGAAGGCGACUCUCUGGUCUGUAACUGACGCUGAGGAGCGAAAGCGUGGGGAGCGAACAGGAUUAGAUACCCCCGUAGUCCCUGUCUCUUAUAC